GAGAGUGUUGCUCUAUAGCCGUGUCAAGUCUUAAGGUUCCGUGGUACCGGAUCCUGUUUCUCUGACCGCACGCUAGGAAGACGCGACGACCACUAUUCUCUCGGUACGAAGAGCUCGGAAUGGUGGACCAGCGAGGCGAGGAGGACUAGGAGUACCGACGGCCAGCGACGGAGCGCCGGUGGCCGCCGCCACCGUGGUCACUGCCAGCCGUCAAGCGGUUGUUGCCCAAGUGCCGACGCUUGGACUGCGAGCUUCCGCGUCAGCAGUUCAGCUUGCCGGAGGAGUACGACUGGUUGCCGUGGUAAGUCUGCUUUCCGGUCCGGAAGGUGGGCAGCGGAGACUACAAAGCGCGGCUCCGCUUGCCGUGGCCGCGGGCAGGUCCCUCAACGAGAGGUGACGCAGCGGUCCGGUCAAGAACCCGGAGUGGCUGUGGCUACCUCCGUUGGGCUCGCUGGUGUAGAAGCGGCACCUCAACCUGUGUGAGAAAUUGCGGCUUAAGGCGCUGUAGUUGUCGUUGGUGCAGCCGCAGCUGCAACUAUCGGACCACAGCGAGCCGAGGCGGCUGCGGCCCAUGAUACGGUUGCUACUGUAGCCCUCAAAGGUCUUCGAUUCAGACUAUUCGGCCUUCCGGUACGUUCACACCCACCUGAUACUGUUCUCCUGGUGUCUCUAGUGCCACUGGUAUCGAGGGAACCCGCAAGGGUCCGGGAUGAAUUGGGACGACGUCUGGUGGUAGCUGGAGAGACCGCACUACGUCUCGUGCCGCAUGCAGCCGAAGAGCAGUCGCUGUCCGCACGAGUGGUGUGCUGUGAAGCAGGAGCGGACCUCGAAGCGCGACCUAUCGGGUCGGGGACGCGACUUGUAGAGUCGUGACGGCCGGAACGGCGGCAACCAGAGCGGUUUCAGGUUCCAAGACCUCUAACACGACCGGAAUCGCAGCCGCUGUGACCAAAGCCGAUAUCGUUAGCCUAAGAUGCAUAAACAUUCUGCCGCAGAGUUCAUGAGGCUCCACGUACUCCUGACCCUCCAAGGCAAGCCGGGUUUGGCUAAGAGAAUGUUCCUGAACAAAGUACGUUGGCUUCCCAAGUCGUUGUUGUUAGACGAGCCAUCCCCUCCAAAACCUUCACAGAUAUUCCCAUACGAAGCGUUCGGACGGUACCUCCAGCGGCAUUUCUCCUACAGUGUGCUAAGUUCCGUUCCUCAUUCCCUCAAGUAACGGCUCCACCACUCGUAACCAGCAGAAGCUGUGGUUUUAUAGUGUGUUAACAAUCCGAUGACGUCUGCUUUCCUACUCGAAGAGGACUAAAUACUAAUGUACUUUUUACCAUCAGAACUUUUCAUAGAUGUAUCAUCUUUAUCGGGUUGAAACACAACCAGAGUCUCCAUAAGAUAGUAGUUUCCACACCGUAGUUCGAAUGACAUAGAUGUACUCCUUACCCUCGUCCAACAGUAAGUGGCUCUAUAUUUCCGUUUGUUACACGAUAACCUAUCAUUCUACUUACCUGCCAAUCCGCUAAAACCAAACCGUUCCUAUAUACUGAUACUUUUGUGGCGACUUUGGUGGGUACACCGACCGUGGUACCCUAUAGAACGCGGACUUGAGAGUGCGUUCCCCUCCGGUUGUGGGAAGAGGCUACACAUUCGUAAACCGCACAAAGAGGAUCUCCAGUGUACACCUGCGUUCUGUUAGACGUAGCUACUCGUCUUGUCAGCCCACAACAACCAGCUCACCCACGAACUCGUGGUGGUGUUGCCGAGUUACGAGCUGUGCCACCUAGGUGCUGAGCCUGCCCUUAAGUUGUGCCUUCUCCAUUAGUAGUACGAGUUUAAUCCAAACGAUACGUGUAUAGGUAGCAGGUUGCGCACCGGAUAGUACGCUUUCCAGUACGUCAUGGAGCUGGUACUAGUUAACGGAGGACUAAAUAGUGGUCGGAUGUAUUCGAUGUAGUACUACCGGGUUUACGUUUUACUUCCCAAACUAAGCGUGUUGUACGGUACAAGAGUUGGGUAUCGCUCACAACGGUGACAUAGUCCUCUCAGGAGUCGCUGAUAAAACGCUCUCCCUUCUACUUCACACAUAAAUUAACUGGAGAGAGAGACACACACACACAAAAACACACACACACAACUUAAUGAUUCUUCAGCACGAAACAACAGGCCGUAACAACGCAGGACGCACAGCCUUGACAGGUAAAAUAUAAUAUACUUACAACCGAUUAGUUAUAUACACAUUCACUAAUUCUUUCCAAAGUACGUAUCUAAACUUCCAACCUCACAUGUUCAUGUAGACUGAUCAGCAACUAGUCGGGCUGUUGAACAUUAACACAGGUGG
rnacentral:rRNA from 1 species